AAAGUAGGCAAGGGAAUCGCUGUAUGGAUGGUAAUAAAAUGCAUCUAUGUAGAGGAAAGUCCGAGCUACUUUAGGUAAAGGGCUGGGUAAUUCCCAGGAGGAGUGAUCCUACGGAAAGUGCAGCAGAAAAUAUACCGCCUAACUUAGUUGGGUAAGGGUGAAAUGGUGAGGUAAGAGCUCACCGUCCUCUCUGGCAACAGGAGGUGCAUGGUAAACCCCCCUUGUAGCAAGAUCAAGCAGCAGAUUAUACCUAAUAAUUAUCUGCGGGUAGAUUGCAAAAUAAAAUGAGUAAUUGUUUUGUUAGAUAGAUGAUUCCCAAAACAGGACUCGGCUUAUUGCCUACUUUUCUU
rnacentral:RNase_P_RNA from 1 species